UACAGAGGGUGCAAGCGUUAAUCGGAAUUACUGGGCGUAAAGCGCGCGUAGGCGGCUGUCUAAGUCGGGUGUGAAAGCCCCGGGCUCAACCUGGGAACUGUAUUCGAUACUGGACGGCUAGAGUAUGAGAGAGGGAGGUAGAAUUCCACGUGUAGCGGUGAAAUGCGUAGAUAUGUGGAGGAAUACCGGUGGCGAAGGCGGCCUCCUGGUUCAAUACUGACGCUGAGGUGCGAAAGCGUGGGGAGCAAACAGG
rnacentral:rRNA from 1 species